rnacentral:lncRNA from 1 species
AUGAGGGACCUGAACGUCCGAUUCGGCCAAGAAGCAUUCAUCAAAGGGUUCGAGCUCUGCCAGGAGAAGGUGACCAGAAAAUUUCCCGAGCUCGAUCUCAGCUUCUUGGGCGAGGAGUCUGAAGAUGAGGCCGGCCCCUCUCCUAUUGCUACUGCUGCCGCAGCCCCCCUUCCAGGGACACCGAGCUCCCCAACUCCUACCGCU